GAUGAACGCUGGCGGCGUGCCUAAUACAUGCAAGUCGAGCGAACAGACGAGGAGCUUGCUCCUCUGAUGUUAGCGGCGGACGGGUGAGUAACACGUGGAUAACCUACCUAUAAGACUGGGAUAACUUCGGGAAACCGGAGCUAAUACCGGAUAACAUGUUGAACCGCAUGGUUCAACAGUGAAAGACGGUCUUGCUGUCACUUAUAGAUGGAUCCGCGCCGCAUUAGCUAGUUGGUAAGGUAACGGCUUACCAAGGCAACGAUGCGUAGCCGACCUGAGAGGGUGAUCGGCCACACUGGAACUGAGACACGGUCCAGACUCCUACGGGAGGCAGCAGUAGGGAAUCUUCCGCAAUGGGCGAAAGCCUGACGGAGCAACGCCGCGUGAGUGAAGAAGGUCUUCGGAUCGUAAAACUCUGUUAUUAGGGAAGAACAAAUGUGUAAGUAACUAUGCACGUCUUGACGGUACCUAAUCAAAAAGCCACGGCUAACUACGUG
rnacentral:rRNA from 1 species